UUGCCUGGGUGGAUAACUGGACCUUCUAAGCUGAACUCCCUAUUGCCAAAGCAAUACUCCCUGCUGCCUCAACUCCCUCUUGAAGAAAAGUGUACCUAGAGACUCUAAACAGAACUCAAGAAACUUUCCUGCCCUGAAUCUUCCCCCUGUGUCUUUGCCUGGGUGGAUAACUGGACCUUCUAAGCUGAACUCCCUAUUGCCAAAGCAAUACUCCCUGCUGCCUCAACUCCCUCUUGAAGAAAAGUGUACCUAGAGACUCUAAACAGAACUCAAGAAACUUUCCUGCCCUGAAUCUUCCCCCUGUGUCUUUGCCUGGGUGGAUAACUGGACCUUCUAAGCUGAACUCCCUAUUGCCAAAGCAAUACUCCCUGCUGCCUCAACUCCCUCUUGAAGAAAAGUGUACCUAGAGACUCUAAACAGAACUCAAGAAACUUUCCUGCCCUGAAUCUUCCCCCUGUGUCUUUGCCUGGGUGGAUAACUGGACCUUCUAAGCUGAACUCCCUAUUGCCAAAGCAAUACUCCCUGCUGCCUCAACUC